UAGGAAUGAAGCCAUUAGCAAAGGAAAGAGAAAGACCUGAAUAACAAAUUUAGCUGAUUCUGAGGCAGAUUCUACUUCCUGUGUGCAGAAAAUUUACGAAGAAGCCAUGAAUCUCUGGAAACAUUCUGGAAACCUAGGAUUGAAGUAUAAAAUCUAUGGAGUUUCCUUCUGUCGCUGGCUGGAGUGCAAUGGCAUGAUCUUGGCUCACCACAACCUCCAGCUCCCGGAUUCAAGAGAUUCUCCUGCCUCAGCCUCCCAAGUAGCUGGGACUACAGCACUUGUUCUUCCUCUAUAAGAAGAUCUUGGUUUAUCUUGGCUCUUCCAUAUACAUUUUAGAAUCAUGUUGUGAAGGUCAAGAACCGUGAAGAUGCUGAAAUUUUUACCCUACUUACGAAACCAACAUGUUAGUUCCGUGGAUGGAGUUCCACGAUGCUGGAAGAAGACAUGAACUCCUGGGUCAGAGAUAAAGGACUUUACUUAAGGAAGAGCAAGCAGCAAAGCAAGUUCCUUCCCUUUGAGAUUGCCAACAUUCUCAACAAGUAUCCCUGUGUGCUUUUGAUGAAGAGGAAGGAACAGUAUGGAAGAUUUCACAGGAUAUUCUGUGGUCAGGCCUGCAAGUACAUGCGUCACUUCUGCCCACAUUCAUAAGGACAGAGCUAAGUCUCAUAAAUACAAGGAAGGUGAAAAUGUGAUUUAACUGUAUGCCUAGCACAGAAAGGAGAAUCAGAAUCCCUGCCACAUUUUCUAAUGUAACUACAUUAUGGUCAUAACAUGUGUUCUGUAUGAUAUCAGUUCUUUGAAAAAUUUAAGACACAGCCCAUUUUUGCAAGUGUUUUUUUGUGUGUGUUGGAAAAUAAUGUAUAUUUUCCAAUUACUAAAUGCAAGUGUCUGUAUAUGUAUAUCAACUAAAUCAAAGUUGUUGAUUUUAUUGUUCAAAUUAUUUGCAUCCUAUUGGUUUUCCUUACCUACUUUAUGCAUUAAUAGCUAAGAGAUAUGUAUUAAAAAUUUCCCACAGUGUUGGUGGAUUUGUCAAUUUCUCCAUAGGUUUUAAAAUUUAUAUGCAAUUUAUUUUGAGGCUAUGAUAUUAAACAAUGUAAAUUUGCAAAUGUGAUCUCUUUUUAUUAUAUUCUUUAUUUUUAUAGAGUUCUCUUAUUAGUAUUUUUUUCCUUUAAAGAAUAUUUUGACUGAUAUUAAUUAUGGUCAUAUUACUUUUUUUUUUUGGUUAAAUUUGCCGGGUUCUCCUUCUGAAACUUUGAUUAGAUAUUUUGGACUUUCUCACUCUAUUCUUCUUGUGUCUUCAACUCUUUUAAAAUAUUUUGCAUCUUUUUAUCUCUAUUGCUUUAUUCUUUUUCUUCUUUUGCAGAAGAACAUUCCAUUUUAUUAAUUCUCUACUCCAUUGUAUCCAAGUUAUUUAACCUUUACAUUGAAUUUUUACUUUUAAUUAUUAUACUUUUUACUUCUAGGAGAACUUUGCCCUCAAAUUCUGCCUGAUUUCUUGCUGAUUAGUCAUAUUUUUACCUCUUUCUUGUUUAAAAAAUUUUUUUCCUUAAACACAUAAUUUUUCUAAAAAAUUUAUAAUAUAUUCCCUAUAUUUGUACAUUUCCAAUAUUCAAGUUUCUGUUGUUUAUUAUUUCUGUGACACUUGCAUGCAAUGGCUUAGUUCAAAUGUAUUUUGUGAUUUUUUAAAAUUGAUUCUGAAGUUGUAUUCGCAAUAAAACACAAUCCUUUGCACUUUUCUAAUAAAUACCAAGGUUGUGGA
rnacentral:lncRNA from 10 species